AGUCAGACUGCCUCAGACACAACACCCAGAAAUCUUCUAAAGCAGCUGUUGAUGUGUCGGCACGAGGCAACUCACGGAGGCAUACCAAGUACCUAUGACAAGUAAGACCGGAGGAGAGGACCAGACAGCAGGAGACACACUGUGUAGCUCAGACUAGACUCAACGUUGGCAUCCUUCUUUGUCAUUCAUUAUUCCAGUUCAAAGGAUGAGAUGGGAAACCAUGAAAGACCCACACAGCUAUGUUGUGGAUUCUUAGGAACUCCCUGUACUGGAGGAGGCGGCGAAAGGGCAGCUCAAAAGGAAAACAAGAGCAGCUUGGUAACCCCUGAGAAGCCUCUGUGCAUGUGGUCUUGUGUACACAAACAGACAUGAAGCCUGAGAGCAAAGCUGAAAAAUACAAUCACUGUGGUUUCUGGA
rnacentral:lncRNA from 1 species